rnacentral:rRNA from 1 species
AGGUGUAACGUCACGCAUCACACCU